rnacentral:rRNA from 1 species
UUAAGCGACUAAGCGUACACGGUGGAUGCCCUGGCAGUCAGAGGCGAUGAAGGACGUGCUAAUCUGCGAUAAGCGUCGGUAAGGUGAUAUGAACCGUUAUAACCGGCGAUUUCCGAAUGGGGAAACCCAGUGUGAUUCGUCACACUAUCAUUAACUGAAUCCAUAAGUUAAUGAGGCGAACCGGGGGAACUGAAACAUCUAAGUACCCCGAGGAAAAGAAAUCAACCGAGAUUCCCCCAGUAGCGGCGAGCGAACGGGGAGCAGCCCAGAGCCUGAAUCAGUGUGUGUGUUAGUGGAAGCGUCUGGAAAGGCGCGCGAUACAGGGUGACAGCCCCGUACACAAAAAUGCACAUACUGUGAGCUCGAUGAGUAGGGCGGGACACGUGGUAUCCUGUCUGAAUAUGGGGGGACCAUCCUCCAAGGCUAAAUACUCCUGACUGACCGAUAGUGAACCAGUACCGUGAGGGAAAGGCGAAAAGAACCCCGGCGAGGGGAGUGAAAAAGAACCUGAAACCGUGUACGUACAAGCAGUGGGAGCACGCUUAGGCGUGUGACUGCGUACCUUUUGUAUAAUGGGUCAGCGACUUAUAUUCUGUAGCAAGGUUAACCGAAUAGGGGAGCCGAAGGGAAACCGAGUCUUAACUGGGCGUUAAGUUGCAGGGUAUAGACCCGAAACCCGGUGAUCUAGCCAUGGGCAGGUUGAAGGUUGGGUAACACUAACUGGAGGACCGAACCGACUAAUGUUGAAAAAUUAGCGGAUGACUUGUGGCUGGGGGUGAAAGGCCAAUCAAACCGGGAGAUAGCUGGUUCUCCCCGAAAGCUAUUUAGGUAGCGCCUCGUGAAUUCAUCUCCGGGGGUAGAGCACUGUUUCGGCAAGGGGGUCAUCCCGACUUACCAACCCGAUGCAAACUGCGAAUACCGGAGAAUGUUAUCACGGGAGACACACGGCGGGUGCUAACGUCCGUCGUGAAGAGGGAAACAACCCAGACCGCCAGCUAAGGUCCCAAAGUCAUGGUUAAGUGGGAAACGAUGUGGGAAGGCCCAGACAGCCAGGAUGUUGGCUUAGAAGCAGCCAUCAUUUAAAGAAAGCGUAAUAGCUCACUGGUCGAGUCGGCCUGCGCGGAAGAUGUAACGGGGCUAAACCAUGCACCGAAGCUGCGGCAGCGACGCUUAUGCGUUGUUGGGUAGGGGAGCGUUCUGUAAGCCUGCGAAGGUGUGCUGUGAGGCAUGCUGGAGGUAUCAGAAGUGCGAAUGCUGACAUAAGUAACGAUAAAGCGGGUGAAAAGCCCGCUCGCCGGAAGACCAAGGGUUCCUGUCCAACGUUAAUCGGGGCAGGGUGAGUCGACCCCUAAGGCGAGGCCGAAAGGCGUAGUCGAUGGGAAACAGGUUAAUAUUCCUGUACUUGGUGUUACUGCGAAGGGGGGACGGAGAAGGCUAUGUUGGCCGGGCGACGGUUGUCCCGGUUUAAGCGUGUAGGCUGGUUUUCCAGGCAAAUCCGGAAAAUCAAGGCUGAGGCGUGAUGACGAGGCACUACGGUGCUGAAGCAACAAAUGCCCUGCUUCCAGGAAAAGCCUCUAAGCAUCAGGUAACAUCAAAUCGUACCCCAAACCGACACAGGUGGUCAGGUAGAGAAUACCAAGGCGCUUGAGAGAACUCGGGUGAAGGAACUAGGCAAAAUGGUGCCGUAACUUCGGGAGAAGGCACGCUGAUAUGUAGGUGAAGUCCCUCGCGGAUGGAGCUGAAAUCAGUCGAAGAUACCAGCUGGCUGCAACUGUUUAUUAAAAACACAGCACUGUGCAAACACGAAAGUGGACGUAUACGGUGUGACGCCUGCCCGGUGCCGGAAGGUUAAUUGAUGGGGUUAGCCGCAAGGCGAAGCUCUUGAUCGAAGCCCCGGUAAACGGCGGCCGUAACUAUAACGGUCCUAAGGUAGCGAAAUUCCUUGUCGGGUAAGUUCCGACCUGCACGAAUGGCGUAAUGAUGGCCAGGCUGUCUCCACCCGAGACUCAGUGAAAUUGAACUCGCUGUGAAGAUGCAGUGUACCCGCGGCAAGACGGAAAGACCCCGUGAACCUUUACUAUAGCUUGACACUGAACAUUGAGCCUUGAUGUGUAGGAUAGGUGGGAGGCUUUGAAGUGUGGACGCCAGUCUGCAUGGAGCCGACCUUGAAAUACCACCCUUUAAUGUUUGAUGUUCUAACGUUGACCCGUAAUCCGGGUUGCGGACAGUGUCUGGUGGGUAGUUUGACUGGGGCGGUCUCCUCCUAAAGAGUAACGGAGGAGCACGAAGGUUGGCUAAUCCUGGUCGGACAUCAGGAGGUUAGUGCAAUGGCAUAAGCCAGCUUGACUGCGAGCGUGACGGCGCGAGCAGGUGCGAAAGCAGGUCAUAGUGAUCCGGUGGUUCUGAAUGGAAGGGCCAUCGCUCAACGGAUAAAAGGUACUCCGGGGAUAACAGGCUGAUACCGCCCAAGAGUUCAUAUCGACGGCGGUGUUUGGCACCUCGAUGUCGGCUCAUCACAUCCUGGGGCUGAAGUAGGUCCCAAGGGUAUGGCUGUUCGCCAUUUAAAGUGGUACGCGAGCUGGGUUUAGAACGUCGUGAGACAGUUCGGUCCCUAUCUGCCGUGGGCGCUGGAGAACUGAGGGGGGCUGCUCCUAGUACGAGAGGACCGGAGUGGACGCAUCACUGGUGUUCGGGUUGUCAUGCCAAUGGCACUGCCCGGUAGCUAAAUGCGGAAGAGAUAAGUGCUGAAAGCAUCUAAGCACGAAACUUGCCCCGAGAUGAGUUCUCCCUGACUCUUUAAGGGUCCUGAAGGAACGUUGAAGACGACGACGUUGAUAGGCCGGGUGUGUAAGCGCAGCGAUGCGUUGAGCUAACCGGUACUAAUGAACCGUGAGGCUUAACCUU